UCCUCCCUCUGCGGGCGGCGGCGGCCGGCGCGCCCUGAGUCCGCGGUGCCCCCCGCAGACCCCACGCGGGCGACUGGAAAGAAACACCGAGGGUCCGGAGGUGGGCGCACUGGGGAACGGCGGGCAGAACUGUCAGGCAACCUCUGCCUGAGGGUCUCUUCCUUCUCAGCACCCCCAACACGCUCUGCCACAUCCUGGCUGGCAGACCACUGUCACACCAGGCUUCCAAACACCUUCUCUAUACCUGGCUCUGGAGAAACGGCAGGAAGCAAAAACGAGAGCUCCGAACCUCAAGGCUCCGGGAAUUUGGUACAACCAGCAGCUGGAGGAGGGUCCAAGACCCCCUCACAGGCACCCUAGGGGGCUUCUCAAAGGAAACACCCUACACUGUACUGGUAGAGAAACCAGCGUAGUGACCACCCCUUAAGCCUACAGAGUGAAAGAGGCUCCGUUCUUUGCUUUCAACUCUUAGAUUAUAAGGAGGUUAAUACUGCAAAUAUCCUGGUUUCUCAAGGUUCCAGAACUCAGGAGAGAGGUUUAAAGUACUGUUACUAUACAGGGCUGGGGCAGCUUUGUGGGGGACGACGGGCAGCCAUAACUCUCACCUAUGGGCUUUGAGCCUACACAGAUAUUUCCAACCAAUUUACCACCAUGAGCAUCCUAACCACAAGUUGGUUACCCAAAACUCUCUCAGCUGCCCCUAUCCUCAGAGUGAGCCCCAACGUCUUCCAGAGAUCAGCAUGAGUGAAACCAUCAAGGAACUUGCUCCACCCCUAGCCCCAGCCCAUCACUGCACAGGGACCACGAACUCCCCUUUCUCCCUACGGUCCAGCUUAAGCUUGCCAUAGCUCUCAACCCAUCCUGACCCUUCCUUCCAGGCCCUCCUACCUGAUCUUGUUG